GAGAGAGAGAGAGAGAGAGAGAGAGAGAGAGAGAGAGAGAGAGAGAGGCUACUAAUGCUUUUGAAAGUACGGAGCCUUCCGUACUUUCAAAUCGUUUUCGAUGUUUCGACUUUUGAAUCGCCGAUCGACUCCGUUAAAUUUGAUCUAGAGUAUUUGAAGUACUUAGAAAAUAAAUUUUAUAAUUUUUCGAUAUCAUUUGCCUAGUGAUCGAAGGGGCUCAAAAUUAAUAAUUUUAAUGGCCGUGGUGAGCCGUUUGUAAGUUUAACGGUAUAGAAAUAUCCAAAUCACGUAAAAUUUUGAUAGAAAAUUCUUUAUACUAUAUAAAAUAAAGAAUUCUUUAUACUAUAGAAAAUUCUUUAUACUAUAGAAAAUUCUUGAUAGAAAAUUCUUUAUACUAUAAGAUCAAUAUUUUUGAUCUAAAAUUUUAAUGUCAUAUUAUCACGUUUUGUAAAAUUUUUAUUUUCAACCGUUGAUUCUGAGCCCCUUCAUUCACUAGGUAAAUGAUAUCGAAAAAUUACAAAAUUUAUUUUCUAGGUACUUUAAAUACUCUAGGUCAAGUUUAAUGAAGCCGAUCGACGAUUUGAAUGUCGCAAAAUAGAAAACGAUCUGGAAGCACGGAAGGCUCCGUGCUUCCAGAAGCAUAGUAGCCACACUCUAUAUAUAUAUCACCAUCAUCCCAACCCUACAUCUCUCCAUCCAAAGACUAAAAACUCAAAAGCACCACCCUCUUGGUAUUUUUGAGAGUAUUCUAGCUUAACUCUCUCUCUCUCUCUCUCUCUCUCUCUCUCUAUAUAUAUAUAUAUAUGUAUGUGUGUGUAGUGUGUGUGUUCGACUAUUAUGCUAUUGAUAGUACCAGGUUAUCAAGUUUUUCGUCAUUAAAUCUAUCCCUUUGACCAUUUACAGCCAUUAGAUUAUGCUAUUUAACGAACUAUCCAUUCAUCCUUAAAAAAUUACUCUCAUUCUAACUGCACAUCUCUUUAUUCAAGAGCCGAAAAGCUAACAGCACCUAAUACUUAGUACUAUUGAUAGUAUAAUAACAUACUUCUAUAUAUAAAUAUAAAAUACGCUAGUU
rnacentral:lncRNA from 1 species